rnacentral:rRNA from 1 species
GACGAACGCUGGCGGCGUGCUUAACACAUGCAAGUCGAACGGAAAGGCCCUGCUUUUGUGGGGUGCUCGAGUGGCGAACGGGUGAGUAACACGUGAGUAACCUGCCCUUGACUUUGGGAUAACUUCAGGAAACUGGAGCUAAUACCGGAUAGGAGCUCCUGCUGCAUGGUGGGGUUGGAAAGUUUCGGCGGUUGGGGAUGGACUCGCGGCUUAUCAGCUUGUUGGUGGGGUAGUGGCUUACCAAGGCUUUGACGGGUAGCCGGCCUGAGAGGGUGACCGGCCACAUUGGGACUGAGAUACGGCCCAGACUCCUACGGGAGGCAGCAGUGGGGAAUAUUGCACAAUGGGCGGAAGCCUGAUGCAGCAACGCCGCGUGCGGGAUGACGGCCUUCGGGUUGUAAACCGCUUUCGCCUGUGACGAAGCGUGAGUGACGGUAAUGGGUAAAGAAGCACCGGCUAACUACGUG